rnacentral:lncRNA from 1 species
CACAGCACAUCUUCAGUAUAUUAACUGCAGAGCUGUUGAUGUUUACUCUACACGCUGAUACUGGAGUAAUUGGACACAGAACUGAGGAAAGACUGUAUAGGAUUAAAGAAGAUUAAGAAGCUUGUGCAGGUAAUUCUCUAAACCUGAAAGAUGUGGACACUGAGGACCGCACUGCUGAUGCUGUUCAUCGCAUCCGUUUUCUCCAAACCGCUCAUUUCAGAAGGUCUGAGAGGUCUAAAGGAGGACUCGAUCAACAGAGAUCUUCAGAAAUCCGACUCCAUGGAAUCGAAUGAAUUGAGUGAUAUCUCGGCUGAGGGCGGCUCCCGCUUGCCUCAGUCAGUUGAGGAUUCUAAUUCAGAUUCGGAUUCAGAUUCUGACGAGGAUGAUGAUGACGACGACGACGACGAUUCUGACGAGGAUACUUCCAGCACCACCACUUCUACUCUUCCUUCUACUACUCCUUCUCCUUCAGGGCCAAGCACAACUAGAGUAAUCCCCACCGCUGAAAUUAUCACCCCUUUCCCUGUUGGGCCGACCGGAUCCCGAGGGGAUAACUAAAGCAUCACUAUAGAGCACUUCCUGAGAGGUCAUGAAGGUCAAAUGAAUGUUUUUGCACCAUACUUUACAAAUGCACUGUUACCUGCACUGUUUAUUACACUGUUCAUUUUAUUUCUUUGGCUGAAUCUGUUUCUGAAUCUUAUGCAAAUAAAUUAUCAGCAUUUUG